GAUGAACACUGGCGGCUUGCCUAAUACAUGCUAGUCGAGCGAACAGACCACGAGCUUGCUCCUCUGACGUUAGCGGCGGACGGCCUGAGCAACACCUGGAUAACCUACCUAUACUACUGGGAUAACUUCCGGAAACCGGAGCUAAUACCGGAUAACAAGUUGAACCGCAUGGUUCAACAGGGAAAGACGGUCUUGCUGUCACUUAUAGAUGGAUCCGCGCCGAAUUAUCUAGUUGGCAAGGUAACCCCUUACCAACGCAACGAUGCCUAUCCGACCUGGGAGGGUGAUCGGCCACACUGAAACUGACACACAGUCCAUACUCCUACGGAGAGCAUGAGUAUGCAAUCUUCCGCACUGGGCGAAAGCCCUGACCGACCAACGCCACGUGAGUGAAAAAGGUCUUCGGAUCGUAAAACUCUGUUAUUAGGGAAGAACAAAUGUGUGAGUAACCAUGCACGGUCGUGACCGCACCAUAUUCAAAAAGCCCACGGCUAACUACGAUGCCAUCAGCCGCGGUAAUACUUAGGUGGUAAGCGUCAUCCCGAAAUAUUGGGCGUAAAACCCACGUAGAGCGGCUCUUAAGUCUGAUGUGAAAGCCCACGGGCUCAACCGUGGAGGGUCAUUGGAAACUGGAAAACUUGAGUGCAGAAGAGGAAAGUGGAAUUCCCUGUGUAGCGGUGAAAUGCGCCGAGAUAUGGAGGAACACCAGUGGCGAAGGGGACUUUCUGGUCUGUAACUGACGCUGAUGUGCGAAAGCGUGGGGAUCAAACAGGAUUAAAUACCCUGGUAGUCCACGCCGUAAACGAUGAGUGCUAAGUGUUAGGGGGUUUCCCCCCCUUAGUGCUGCAGCUAACGCAUUAAUCACUCCCCCUGGGGAGUACGACCGCGAGGUUGAAACUCACAGGAGUUGUAGGGGACCCCCACACGCGGUGGAGCAUGUGGUUUAAUUCUUAGCACCGCGAAGAACCUUACCAAAUCUUGACAUCCUCUGAUCCCUCUAGAGAUAGAGUUUUCCCCUUCUGGGGACAGAGUGACCGGUGGUGCAUGGCUGUCCCCACCUCCCGUCCUGGGAAGUUGGGUUUAGUCCCGCCACUAGCGCCACCCUUAACCUUAUUCUCCUUCCUUAAGUCGGGGCACUCUAAGUUGACUGCCCGUGACCCCACCCUAGUAAGGUGGCCGAUACGUCACAUCCCUAUGCCCCCUUAUCCAUUGGGCCUACACCCUUGCUAAAUUGACCAAUACAACGGUGUAUCAAUACCCCUGAGGCCACUCUUUCCUUUUCAAUUGCUCCUCGCCUCGGAUUGUAGUCCGCCCUCUCGCCUCCCUGUAAGCUGGACCCGCUAGUUUUCCUAUACUCAACCUGCUCCCGCGGAAUCCGCCCUGGGUAU
rnacentral:rRNA from 1 species